rnacentral:pre_miRNA from 1 species
UUCAUACUCCCUCCGUCCAACAAAAGAUGUCUCAAGUUUGUCAAAAUUUGGAUGUAUCUAGACAUGACUUAGUAUAUAGAUGCAUUCAAAUUUAGUUAAAGUUGAGACAUCCUUUGUUGGACGGAGGGAGUACUAU